rnacentral:pre_miRNA from 14 species
UUUUAAAGUACCUCUGUUACCAGCCCUGUUGUCACCUUCAAUGUGAAAGAUCCCCCGAGCGGGGAGACCCUCACUCAAGUCUCGGGAUGACGCGACCCCCCCAAGAACUCACACAAGACC